CCUACGGGUGGCAGCAGUGGGGAAUAUUGCUCAAUGGGCGAAAGCCUGACGCAGCGACGCCGCGUGAGGGAUGAAGGUCUUCGGAUCGUAAACCUCUGUCAGCAGGGAAGAACGGUCACUGUUCUAAUCAGCAGUCAAUUGACGGUCCCUGCAAAGGAAGCACCGGCUAACUCCGUGCCAGCAGCCGCGGUAAUACGGAGGUUGCGAGCGUUAAUCGGAAUUACUGGGCGGAAAGCGCUCGUAGGCGGGAUGUCAAGUCAAGGUGGGAAGCCCCGGGCUCAACGUGGGAACUGCCUGUGAAACUGGCAGACUGGAGAGUAGGAGAGGAUAGUGGAAGUCCAGGUGUAGGAGUGA
rnacentral:rRNA from 1 species